rnacentral:rRNA from 1 species
GACGUAGGUGGCGAACGUUAUCCGGAAUUAUUGGGCGUAAAGAGCUCGUAGGCGGUCUGUCGCGUCGGCUGUGAAAUCCCGAGGCUCAACCUCGGGUCUGCAGUCGAUACGGGCAAACUAGAGUAUUGCAGGGGAGACUGGAAUUCCUGGUGUAGCGGUGAAAUGCGCAGAUAUCAGGAGGAACACCGGUGGCGAAGGCGGGGUCUCUGGGCAAUAACUGACGCUGAGGAGCGAAAGCGUGGGGAGCGAACAGG